CAAACGUCACCCUCGGCACGUGCGUGAGAGGGCGGACGGAGGACGGCUGUACGUGCAUCCGGGGCGUGUCUGGGUUCCGUGGGGUCAACAAUCGGCUUGCAGGUCAUGGCACAGCGUUGAGGAAGUAAUGGGACACCGGAUUAUCUUCACACUUACACGGACACUAUUAUAGUGAACCCCUCCACAAUGGAAGAACCUGAAGCAGAGGAAUACACCUAUAUUGUGAUUGGUGGAGGCAUAGCAGGUGUCACUUGUGCUGAACACCUGUACAUUCUACACCCUGAGGUCAGAACACUAGUCCUCACUGCCUCACCUCUCAUCAAGGCAGUCACCAAUGUGCUGCCUCUUACCAAGACUCUUGACUUCUUUGAAGUGGAAGAACAGCUACCAGAGACUUUACAAAGCAAAUGUCCAAAUGUGAAAGUGUUACGAGACACUCUGGUUCACUUGGCAGCAGAAAAGAAGCUCAUUUUCACCUCCUCUGGUAGAUGUUAUUCCUAUCAACAACUUUGUAUCUGCACUGGUGGCAGUCCUAAACUUCUAGCAGAGAAAGGUCCACAUGUAGUGUGGCUGAGGGAUACAGAGUCAGCCCAGCAGUUUCAGACUCGAAUUAAAGAUGCAAGACGAAUCAUGAUUGUAGGAAAUGGAGGCAUUGCUACAGAGAUGGUCUAUGAAGUCACAGGAGUGGAAAUCAUCUGGGCCAUAAAGGACAAGCAUAUGAGUGCCACCUUCAUUGAUCCUGGAGCAGCUCAGUUCCUGCAGCCUGAACUGACCAAGGAAAAAGUAGCAGCUCCAAUUCCAAGCAAAAGGGCGAGAUACACAGUUGAAAAAUCUGAGGUAUCAGGAACAUCCACACUUGGGGGAGCUCUAGGACCUGACUGGCUGUCUGGGCUCGAUUUAAAAGGAAAAACUCAACGCAGAGUUAUCAUGGAAACUGAAGUGGAAGUCAAAAGCAUUCUUGAGCCAGAGGAAAUCAAGAAUCUGGAGUCACAAAUAAAUCAAAGUUCUGAGGAGGGAAAGUGGCCGGUCUACGUCCAGCUGACAAAUGGGAAAAUAUAUGGCUGUGACUUCAUCGUUUCAGCAAUAGGAGUGACACCCAACAUUGCAAGUGUUAUGCCAGGAAAUAAUUUUUCCCUUGGAGAGGAUGGCGGGCUGUUGGUGGACGAAAAGAUGAAGACAACCAUGGAGAAUGUGUUUGCAGCGGGCGACGUGUGUUCACCUGGCUGGCCAUUGGCUCCACACUGGUUCCAGAUGCGUCUCUGGACUCAGGCACGGCAAAUGGGGUCCUAUGCAGCCAAGUGUAUGUGGUCAGCCCAAGUUGGGGAAGAAAUCUAUAUGGACUUCUGUUUUGAGCUUUUUUCCCAUGCCACCAAGUUUUUUGGGCACAAAGUUAUCCUCUUGGGGCUCUUCAAUGGGCAACGCUUGGAUGGAAAGUAUGAAAUCUUGCUCAGAUUCACUCAAGGUAUGGAGUACAUCAAAUGUGUAAUGGUAGAUGGUAAGAUGCAAGGAGCUGUGCUCAUUGGGGAAACUGAUAUGGAGGAAACAUUUGAAAAUUUAAUCCUCAAUCAAAUGGAUUUAUCCGUGUAUGGCGAGGAUCUCCUCAACCCAGACGUUGAUAUUGAAGACUACUUUGACUAAUGGAUUGCACUGAAGUCCCACCCACUCAUAUUAAGAGAAAGAUUACACAGCAUUAACUUUUGUGGCCAGGGACUGUGUGUCCUGCACAGGUGUCGACAAUGCCAUACACUCACGCUGAGGGAGUCCAUAACACCAUAGGACAAGCCAGUCCGCCAUAGGAAUUCUUGACAAGACCCACCAUUGUUCUGCACUACGGUACCCAGAAAACCGGGACUGCAGCAACACAAUAAGGAUUUCCUAGAACAUAUCAACCAAGCACCAUCUGAAAGUUAGCAAUAAAAACAUGUUAAAAAGUUUUCUCUUUAAUUUCCUUGAUUUACCGAUUCAAAGAGCUACGUGCUUUCAAUGGUAAAGAAAUACAAUGAGUAUAGACAGUCUGCGAGGAUUUUUCCAGCAGAUGGCACUCAUGUCUUGGGACGUUGGGUGAUGAGUUCUUUGUGCAGUGCAAGGUGGCAGUUUUGUAUUUUUACAUGAAAACUAAUGUAAUAAAGUGACAUGGAAC